AGAGUUUGAUCCUGGCUCAGAACAAACGCUGGCGGCGUGCCUAACACAUGCAAGUCGUACGUGAAAGUUCCGCAAGGAACGAGUAAAGUGGCGAACGGGUGAGUAAUACAUAGGUAAUCUACUUAUAAGUUCGGGAUAACAUUUCGAAAGGGUUGCUAAUACCGGAUAAUGUGCUUAGUCAAAAGAUUAAGCACCAAAGGUGGCCUCUUCACAAUGCUAUCGAUUAUAAAUGAGCCUAUGGACCAUUAGUUAGUUGGCAGGGUAAUAGCCUACCAAGACAAAGAUGGUUAGCUGGUCUGAGAGGAUACCGGCCACACUGAACUGAACACGCC
rnacentral:rRNA from 1 species